CCUUUAUUCACAGAGAAAUGCCAGGUAGAAAGACAAUAAGCAUGUAUCCAUGUGUAUAUUUUCAACUUCCUAAAGGCCAUCAAAUUGGAAAGGGAGUGAGUUUACUUUACUCAAACAUCUUCUGACUUGAAGACAAGGUAACCCAGGAAAAGCCUUUCCUUUAAAAAAAAAAUACUGUGCUUGUUGGUGUGACUCUGUGUGGAUUGUCUGGCAGAUCUUUAACAAUCUCUUGUACCUCUGAGUUAUUUUGAUUUUAAAAUAUUAGCUCAUAACCAAUCUUAAGCUGUCAAAACUAAAGGAUUGUACAAAAUAGCUUCAAGGUUACAUAAACAGAGUAGCUGGGAAGUGAUUCGGCAACAUGCAUUCAUCUCAAGAGCACAAGGCAUUUAUUUUUUAAAGAAAUUUUCCACCCAAAGACUGGCCUUCUUUAUUUUGGGAAGCACGGGUUUGAUGGGAUUUAAAAACUCUGUGUAAGGAGAAGGGAGGUCAGAUGGCAGAAGACAAACUGGACAGAGGAGGGCAGAAAAGGAGCUGGGGCAGCAAAUGCCAAGCACAUGUUCAAUAAGUUUUAUGAUGAUAUACAACUGGGGAUGGGUGGGAGCUGAGAGAGGCAAGUGGUAUAAAUUAGGGCGUGCUUAUGCUAAUGGGGUAAAUAACUGGAGAGAAAAAUAAAGGAGAGGAGGUAAGAAUGAGCCUUCAAGCAGCCAAAGGCUGGAGGGAUUUGGCCACUCGUUCCCCCUCCACCGAUCCCUGCUGCUGGGCAUGGUGAUAAAACACGCGGCAAAUGACAAGGCAUGGGAACCGGCGAGCAUCGCCUGGCGAGGUCGUGGAGUGUUCUCCCAUGCAAUGUGGUCAUGCAAAGUCCCACCCAUUGACUCACUGUUUGGGCCAAAGAGGUAACCUUAGUCUGGCUAUUUGAGGCUGUGUGCGCAACGCGCUACAGCUCAGCAAACAUUCAAGACCAGGCUGUGCUCCAAAAAGCUCCUAAUCCAAGGAGGAACUUGCAGCAAGAAAUAAUGAACUCUUGCCUGAGGGCUGGGGGUAAAAGCCAGAGCUGCGCGGUGCGAAGCUGAAGGGUGUUGGGACUUAGGAAUCCAGCUCAGCUGCGGAUGGAGCCAGCUGUGAAAUACCAUUGCCAAUCAAUCUUCCGGGCUGCACAUGUUGCAAGACAUCCCCUUUCACUUCCCAGAAGCUGUUUAGACCCAAAGGGUAGGGUCGGGCCCGGCGUUAAGGGACAUAGCUGUGAUUUCUCGCUGGGGCACAAUUUCCUCCGGUCCCGCACAGAAAUAUCUCCAGCGGUGAAGAGCCUUUGCAGCCACCAAGCCACAUGGAUAAAAGAAAUCUUGCCACAUAGCUUGGGAGGCCCUAAUGGGUGAGGGCCCCUCUGCAGCUGAAAUGUGCUUGGGUGCGCUCACAGGAGGCCUGUGUGGGCUUGCUGUUGGUGCCUGUCGUGUUCCCAUCGCUGUCACGAUGGCCCCAGCUCAGAUCCACCGGCCGCUCGUGCUCCUCUGGACGAGGUCGUCUGUGGGAAAUGCACUACCACCAACGAAGCUUGGAUGUCCCCUCAUCUCAGAGCAUGUUGGCUUGUGCCAAGCUCCUCUUUGGAUCUGAAUUAAACUUAGUCAGCUUCUCUAUAUGCCCCUCAGAUUUGCAGUUUGAGGAUUGCACCCAAAUAUUCGAGGCAGGGACACCAAAGCCAACAGGAUCCCAAAGGGUCCGGGACCCUUGCUGGCAGAGCUAACCUUCCUCCCUGGGGACACUUAGGACUCACCCAGCGACCCUAGACCUUAUCUACAAAGGCACAAAAGACGGGCUGUUAGCUCAGGAUUUGCAAAGCAUCAGGCAGGGCAGCAGGAGAUCCCACUGCUCCUAUACCCAGAGCCUCAGUGGCCUCUGCAAAUCCCUCCCAUUCAGUUACAGCACUCGAUUCCCAGCCUCUCUGCUUGCUCACAAUUAUUUAUUGUGUUGGGUUUGUUUUCUGUUUUCCAGACAAAACAGGAAACAGUUCUGUCUGAGUUUCCUUGCUUUGAAUGCCGGUGAAGUGUGCGUGUCUACGGCUGCAUGUGAGGGAAAUGAGGUGCAUCUCUCGUAAUACUGAAACCAAAUCCAAGUUUCCCACAGUCAAAGCCUACUAAAAAUGUAAUUUUUUUUUCCAGCAAUGAGAAGACCUUGAAGACAUUGUGUGUGCUGUGAAUCAGAGCAGAUUUACCUCACUGCGAGCUCCCCAGCACAGGCCUGUAGAAGACAGCUCAAGGUGCUUCCAGCCAGGGAGCCACCGGCAGCACUGAAGUAUUGAGGUUUAAUGUGUUACCAGAAGGAAGGUGGCUUCAGCAAAUACAUUUAAUACUGCAAUUGCCCAGGGCUAGAGAGGAACACCCAGUCGGUGCCUGCAUUACAGCUGACCGAUGGCGAUUUGCCCAGCUGCUCAAUGGCCCUUGAAUUUUUCUCCAUUGCUGCCACUGGAACUGCAUUUCAGGGCAUCUCCGCUGCCAAAUCAAUUCACUUUGCUCAGGUGCACAGCACUGCAGCAAUUCAUAGCAGAGAGACCAGAACCAGGCCUCCAUGCACCAAAGGCUAAAGGUUCGAUAACCCAAACCCUGACAUUGCCAUGAUAGCUUUUUUCUUCCUGAGGCUCCUAAGUAUUAUUGCUCUUAUUAUUUUAAUUGACCUCUGAGAAAAGAGCAGUGUCAAAACAGGAGCUCAGAUUACUGAAGUUAUUAUCCUGUUGUGUACAAUGAGUGAUUAUUUAAUAUAUAUAUAUAUAAAAACUCUUUAUUUUGCAAAGGCAGCAGUUCAAUAAAUAAUUAAUGUUUCUUAAUCCUGUAGCUAUUUCUCUCAUUGUAAAAAAUUAAUUGGUUUUCCAUCAUCUGUUUCCCUCUAACCUGGAGGUAUCUGGCAAAGCAUUCGUGCCCCUGCUUAAACAUGCUCCUUGUAAUCUUUGUCAUGCCCAUGGUUCAGAAUCUGGGGGAUAAACAAACUAAUCAGAGAUAUUAGAGGCACCUCCAGGAAGAUUUAGUCAUCGCAACACUUUGCGCUUAUGCAGCAUCCAUCUGUCUGGGAAUAAUUAAGCCUCUCAACCCCUGAUGAGGUAAAUGCUGUGCUCAUUGGUGUGCAGACUGGUAAACAGAGUCACAGAGAGGUUACACAGUUUGCCCCAGACCACACAGUAAGUCAAUGGCACUGCCAGAAAGGGAAGAUUUCCCCAAUUUCUGUGUCACUAUGAGGCCACAUCACCUCUGAGAAGUGUUGAAAACUCAGGGGCAAACGUGAAGGGGCUGCGUUUUGUCCACCAGCUCCAGGAAGCACCUGGUAUUAACAGUAUUAACACUUAACAUCUUGGAAAUGCCGCAUGUGGACAUAGGCGAAAGGCAGAAUGGCUGGCUCUUAGGUUGCAAAUGCUUUUACACCCCCAAGUGACAAAAAGUAGCUGAGUUGUGGAAAGGAGAACUAACUCAGAGCUCCUGGCAAACUCGUACUGGAUUAAGUGCUUACUUCUGCUCUGUCUGCUGGUCAUGCACAGAUGACAUGGCCCACAAGCUGCCUUCCCUACAGUGGGGACACAGCCAGGGACAGGGGGCUCAGUUGG